rnacentral:rRNA from 1 species
UACGUAGGGGGCAAGCGUUGUCCGGAAUCAUUGAGCGUAAAGAGCGUGUAGGCGGCUUGGUAAGUCCGCUGUGAAAGUCCAGGGCUCAACCCUGGAAAGCCGGUGGAAACUGUCAAGCUUGAGUCCGGAAGAGGAGAGUGGAAUUCCUGGUGUAGCGGUGAAAUGCGCAGAUAUCAGGAGGAACACCCGUGGCUAAGGCGGCUCUCUAGUACUGUACUGACGCUGAGACGCGAAAGCGUGGGGAGCGAACAGG